CGCUGGCGGCGCGCCUAACACAUGCAAGUCGAACGAGCGAGAGAGAGUUUACUUUUUCGAGCGAGUGGCGAACGGGUGAGUAACGCGUGAGGAACCUGCCUCAAAGAGGGGGACAACAGUUGGAAACGACUGCUAAUACCGCAUGACGCAUAGAGGUCGCAUGAUCUUUAUGCCAAAGAUUUAUCGCUUCAAGAUGGCCUCGCGUCUGAUUAGCUGGUUGGCGGGGUAACGGCCCACCAAGGCGACGAUCAGUAGCCGGACUGAGAGGUUGAACGGCCACAUUGGGACUGAGAUACGGCCCAGACUCCUACGGGAGGCAGCAGUGGGGAAUAUUGGGCAAUGGGCGCAAGCCUGACCCAGCAACGCCGCGUGAAGGAAGAAGGCUUUCGGGUUGUAAACUUCUUUUAAGAGGGAAGAGCAGAAGACGGUACCUCUAGAAUAAGCCACGGCUAACUACGUG
rnacentral:rRNA from 1 species